UGGAAUUACCGCAGCUGCUGGCACCAGACUUGCCCUCCAAUGGAUCCUUGUUAAAGGAUUUAAAGUGUACUCAUUCCAAUUACAGGGCCUCGAAAGAGUCUUGUAUUGUUAUUUUUUCGACACUACCUCCCCGGGUCAGGAGUGGAGAUCUGAAGAGCACACAU